GGUUUAUAGAUCGAUACAAACCCUCAGUCGUCUUCUUCGUCUUCUACUUCUUCACUUCCAAAAUGUUCAAAAAGUUUUCGUAUGAAGAUGUAUCCUCACAGAACCAAGUGAAGGCGUCUGUGCAGCGAAAAAUUCGACAGAGUAUUGCAGAUGAGUACCCAGGACUUGAACCUGUUUUGGAAGAUUUGCUUCCAAAGAAGUCCCCUUUAAUUGUUGCCAAAUGUCAGAAUCAUCUGAAUCUGGUGAUGGUGAACAAUGUCCCCCUGUUUUUUAAUGUCCGUGAUGGGCCUUACAAAACAGGGGGACAUUGUUCACCAUCACC
rnacentral:misc_RNA from 1 species